rnacentral:rRNA from 2 species
AGAGUUUGAUCCUGGCUCAGGACGAACGCUGGCGGCGCGCCUAACACAUGCAAGUCGAACGAGCGAGAGAGAGCUUGCUUUCUCGAGCGAGUGGCGAACGGGUGAGUAACGCGUGAGGAACCUGCCUCAAAGAGGGGGACAACAGUUGGAAACGACUGCUAAUACCGCAUAAGCCCACGGCUCGGCAUCGAGCAGAGGGAAAAGGAGCAAUCCGCUUUGAGAUGGCCUCGCGUCCGAUUAGCUAGUUGGUGAGGUAACGGCCCACCAAGGCGACGAUCGGUAGCCGGACUGAGAGGUUGAACGGCCACAUUGGGACUGAGACACGGCCCAGACUCCUACGGGAGGCAGCAGUGGGGAAUAUUGCACAAUGGGGGAAACCCUGAUGCAGCGACGCCGCGUGGAGGAAGAAGGUCUUCGGAUUGUAAACUCCUGUUGUUGAGGAAGAUAAUGACGGUACUCAACAAGGAAGUGACGGCUAACUACGUGCCAGCAGCCGCGGUAAAACGUAGGUCACAAGCGUUGUCCGGAAUUACUGGGUGUAAAGGGAGCGCAGGCGGGAAGACAAGUUGGAAGUGAAAUCCAUGGGCUCAACCCAUGAACUGCUUUCAAAACUGUUUUUCUUGAGUAGUGCAGAGGUAGGCGGAAUUCCCGGUGUAGCGGUGGAAUGCGUAGAUAUCGGGAGGAACACCAGUGGCGAAGGCGGCCUACUGGGCACCAACUGACGCUGAGGCUCGAAAGUGUGGGUAGCAAACAGGAUUAGAUACCCUGGUAGUCCACACCGUAAACGAUGAUUACUAGGUGUUGGAGGAUUGACCCCUUCAGUGCCGCAGUUAACACAAUAAGUAAUCCACCUGGGGAGUACGACCGCAAGGUUGAAACUCAAAGGAAUUGACGGGGGCCCGCACAAGCAGUGGAGUAUGUGGUUUAAUUCGACGCAACGCGAAGAACCUUACCAAGUCUUGACAUCCCUUGACGAUGCUGGAAACAGUAUUUCUCUUCGGAGCAAGGAGACAGGUGGUGCAUGGUUGUCGUCAGCUCGUGUCGUGAGAUGUUGGGUUAAGU